rnacentral:rRNA from 1 species
UCGAGGAUCUUCGGCAAUGGGGGCAACCCUGACCGAGCGAUGCCGCGUGCGCGAUGAAGGCCUUCGGGUUGUAAAGCGCGAAAGAGGGGAGAAAAGCCCGAAAGGGUUUGAUCUAUCCUCAGUAAGCUCGGGCUAAGUUCGUGCCAGCAGCCGCGGUAAGACGAACCGAGCGAACGUUGUUCGGAAUCACUGGGCUUAAAGGGCGCGUAGGCGGGCUGCCAAGUCUGGGGUGAAAUCCCGCGGCUCAACCGUGGAACUGCCUCAGAUACUGGCGGCCUCGAGGGAGAUAGGGGCGAGCGGAACUAAUGGUGGAGCGGUGAAAUGCGUUGAUAUCAUUAGGAACUCCGGUGGCGAAAGCGGCUCGCUGGAUCUUUUCUGACGCUGAUGCGCGAAAGCUAGGGGAGCAAACGG